rnacentral:RNase_P_RNA from 1 species
CGAGUAAGUCAGAUGGUCGCGUCAGAGGAUUCAUUCUCUGACGAGGAAAGUCCGAGCUCCGCAGGGCAAGGUGCUGGGUAAUACCCAGUGGAGGCGACUCCAAGGAUAGUGCAACAGAAAUAGACCGCCCGGUAUGCUGUAGAGCGUGUAAUGCUUCUACAAAGGGGUCACCCCAAUAUACCAGGUAAGGAUGGAAAGGUGAGGUAAGAGCUCACCAGCAACUAGGCGACUAGUUGGCUCUGUAAACCCCACCCGGAGCAAGACCAAGUAGGGAUGAAAAAGCGGCUGCCCGUCGUGUCCCGUGGUAGGUUGCUUGAGCCUACUGGCAACAGUAGGUCUAGAUAGAUGACUGUCAAAUACAGAACUCGGCUUAUAGAUUUGCUCGUUUA